UACUGGCUCAGAUUGAACGCUGGCGGCAGGCCUAAUACAUGCAAGUCGAACGGUAACAUAGGAAAAGCUUGCUUUCCUGAUGACGAGUGGCGGACGGGUGAGUAAAGUUUGGGAAGCUACCUGAUAGAGGGGGACAACAGUUGGAAACGACUGCUAAUACCGCAUACAGCCUGAGGGUGAAAGCAGCAAUGCGCUAUCAGAUGCGCCCAAAUGGGAUUAGCUAGUAGGUGAGGUAAAGGCUCACCUAGGCGACGAUCUCUAGCUGGUCUGAGAGGAUGAUCAGCCACAUUGGGACUGAGACACGGCCCAGACUCCUACGGGAGGCAGCAGUAGGGAAUAUUGCACAAUGGAGGAAACUCUGAAUGCAGCCAUGCCGCGUGUGUGAAGAAGGCCUUCGGGUUGUAAAGCACUUUCGGAGGGGAGGAGAAUGACGUUACCCUCAGAAGAAGCACCGGCUAACUCCGUGCCAGCCGCCGC
rnacentral:rRNA from 1 species